rnacentral:rRNA from 1 species
CAAGUCGAGCGAGAUUUUUUCCUGUAGCAAUACAGGGAAAAGUCUAGCGGCGAACGGGUGCUUAACACGUGGGCAACCUGCCAAGAAGUGGGGGAUAGCUCGCCGAAAGGCGAAUUAAUACCGCAUGUGAUCAGAGUGGACAUCCAUUCGAAAUCAAAGUCGGGGCAACCUGACGCUUCUUGAGGGGCCCGCGGCCUAUCAGCUAGUUGGUGAGGUAACGGCCCACCAAGGCUUAGACGGGUAGCUGGUCUGAGAGGACGACCAGCCACACUGGGACUGAGACACGGCCCAGACACCUACGGGUGGCAGCAGUCGAGAAUUUUUCUCAAUGGGGGAAACCCUGAAGGAGCGACGCCGCGUGGAGGAUGAAGGUCUUCGGAUUGUAAACUCCUGUCAUUGGGGAACAAUGCGUAAAUAUUAACUGUAUUUGCGUUGAUAGUACCCGAAGAGGAAGAGACGGCUAACUCUGUGCCAGCAGCCGCGGUAAUACAGAGGUCUCAAGCGUUGUUCGGAUUCAUUGGGCGUAAAGGGUGCGUAGGCGGCGCGGUAAGUCGGGUGUGAAAUCUCGGAGCUUAACUCCGAAACUGCAUUCGAUACUGCCGUGCUUGAGGACUGGAGAGGAGACUGGAAUUUACGGUGUAGCGGUGAAAUGCGUAGAUAUCGUAAGGAAGACCAGUGGCGAAGGCGGGUCUCUGGACAGUUCCUGACGCUGAGGCACGAAGGCCAGGGGAGCAAACGGGAUUAGAUACCCCGGUAGUCCUGGCAGCAAACGGUGCACGUUUGGUGUGGGAGGAUUCGACCCCUUCUGCGCCGGAGCUAACGCGUUAAACGUGCCGCCUGGGGGAGUACGGUCGCGAGAUUAAAACUCAAGAAAUUGACGGGGGCCCGCACAAGCGGUGGA